rnacentral:rRNA from 1 species
UACGGAGGAUCCAAGCGUUAUCCGGAAUCAUUGGGUUUAAAGGGUCCGUAGGCGGUUUAGUAAGUCAGUGGUGAAAGCCCAUCGCUCAACGGUGGAACGGCCAUUGAUACUGCUAGACUUGAAUUAUUAGGAAGUAACUAGAAUAUGUAGUGUAGCGGUGAAGUGCUUAGAGAUUACAUGGAAUACCAAUUGCGAAGGCAGGUUACUACUAAUGGAUUGACGCUGAUGGACGAAAGCGUGGGUAGCGAACAGG